GACGAACGCUGGCGGCGUGCUUAACACAUGCAAGUCGAACGGAAAGGCUCCAGCUUGCUGGAGUACUCGAGUGGCGAACGGGUGAGUAACACGUGGGUGAUCUGCCCUGCACUUCGGGAUAAGCCUGGGAAACUGGGUCUAAUACCGGAUAGGACCGCACUUUGGUGUGUGUGGUGGAAAGGUUUUUCUGGUGUGGGAUGAGCUCGCGGCCUAUCAGUUUGUUGGUGGGGUAAUGGCCUACCAAGACGGCGACGGGUAGCCGGCCUGAGAGGGUGGACGGUCACAUUGGGACUGAGAUACGGCCCAGACUCCUACGGGAGGCAGCAGUGGGGAAUAUUGCACCAUGGGGGAAACCCUGAUGCAGCGACGCCGCGUGGGGGAUGAAGGCCUUCGGGUUGUAAACUACUUUCGCUAGGGACGAAGCUUUUUGUGACGGUACCUGGAGAAGAAGCACCGGCUAACUACGUG
rnacentral:rRNA from 1 species